rnacentral:snRNA from 3 species
GUGUUUGCUUCAGCAGCACAUAUACUAAAAUCAGAAUGAUACAGAGAAGAUUAGCAUGGCCUUUGUGCAAGGAUGACAUGCACAUUCUUGAAGUGUUCCAUAUUUUU